ensembl:lncRNA
CUGAAUCCACUGGAUAAAAAGACAAGCCAGGAAUGUUUAAAUGUGGUAUACAUGCCUAAGUUGUGACUCCUAACUCAACUUAAUAUUUACAAACCAUGAAGACGACAGCACAACUCCAUAACGUACGACUAAAACACAGUAAAAACCACACGUAUUUGUUACAAACCUUUUAUUAAGAUAUUCAGAUUGUUUUUCAUAAUUUGUCUUUUUUACAGUAGUUAAUGUGCAAUUAUCUUUAUUACUGGGUCACAGUUAGGAUUUCACAAAGUUAUUGGCACUUGGAACACUGGCAUGUACAUGGGUCGGGAUCAGGGGAACACGGCAUGGGAUAGGGUCGUCGGGAGGAGCAUCAUCAGUAGUAUAUCUCUGACAACACUACUGCAUUAGGUUGUAUUUUAUAUCCAAAAAAGCUUUUUAUAUUUGAUUUAGUCUGGGUUAUUUUUUAAAUCAUAACUCAUGCUGCGAGUGAACAACUAACACACUUCAAUAGUGCUUCUAUGUAUUGUAAGAAUGUACAGUUUAAUAUAGUGUGAAAAGAAAGAUCUGCAACGGGGAAAGACCGACGGCACCAGAGACAGGAAACCAAAUCAAAAAGAGAAGAGUCAUUCUCGGUUGCUGUCAUAUCUCUCUAUGUAACUGAGGUAAUAACUUUCACAAAGCAUCCCACUUCUCCACAGCCAAUACCUUGACUGUAUUCUAUUCAUUCCAUGUCAAUGAGGCUUGAGCUAUUUUUAUUGUUCUGGUCUGUCUGUACCUGAACAAACUGUACUGUAGCCUUAACGUCUCCUGGGUCGUAUUCAUUAGGGCGCACCGUAGAGAAACGUUUUGCAACGGGGGGGAAGAGAAAAAAAAACAUGAGCGUCUCUUAUUAGACAAGUUCAUGCAGUCCCUCCCCGUUUUCAGUCCGUUCUGUGCGUAAUGAACACGACCCCGGUACUUAUGAGGUUAGUAACGGUCUGAGGCUAUGACUGACGGCAUAGGAGGUAAACUGUAUCUGUGUAGUUGUAAACACACAUUAAACAGGACACUAUCAGUGAGCAGCCAUGCCGUGUGUGUGUGGAUCUCUGGUGCGUCAGGGUCCUUAUAAGGAGCGGUAAUACUAGUAAAUGUAUCUCUGGAAUAGACGUUUAGAAGAUUGCUGUCAGUCAGCGGUUGCAGAGAAAAGCACAGAUUGGAGCCAGACCUGGGAUCAAAUACUUCAUCUGGGAUUGAUUGAGCACGCCUGGCUUAGUGGACCCAAUAGAAUUGGCAUACACGGCCCAUCAGACUCUCCAGGAGGACUAGAGCUCCAAAGUAUUUUACAGAUUUAAAAGACUUGAACCCAGGUCUGAUUUUAACUGCAAGGAAACAUACAAGGGUUGACAGGCCACAAUGCAAGCAGAAAUGGCCAUGUCCCUUACCACUGGUCUAAGGUCAGAUCUUUCUUUAUCCCCAUUAUGUUGAGAAUUAGGAUUGGUAAUAGGGUAAUCUGGUUCUAGAGCUGUGGUAAAGGGGUUAACUUGGACCUAUAGCCUACCAUGCAGAGAGGGCCGGUUGGGAGGGAGGCUACUAUAGUAAUAGAAUGGCGUCCCCUCUCCUCCCUCUGCAGAGAAGAGAUGUACAGUCUGGUCACUAGGACCCAGGGUGUUACAUGACCAGGGGGAUAACCUCCCUACACGUUGGUUGGUUGGGCACCACCCCCAGAACCUGCCCGGGGGGUUAUGGUGGGUACAGCAACAACAAAUGAACACCAAAUAAAAAUACAAAAUGAAAAGGAAUAAUAAAAAAUACAGAAAUAAAGGAAACUACAAAAAAAUGAUUCCCCCCCAUUCAUCCCCACACAGAUUCAUUAGUAGACAGCGUAGCAAAUCAUUUCACAAUGAAGAAAAACUAGAGCUUCCUAUUGGACAAAUUCGGGUAGUCCCUCCACGCUUGUCAGUUUGGUGCCUAAUGAACAACCCUGGAUCCAUGGAAAUAGAACGGGCUUGGAACCUCUAACCCCCUCAAACUCAACUCUGGACCGCCAAGACAGUUUCCACUGAAUGUUGCCAUUGUUCCCCUCUAAAACCAGGGACUGAUUUAGACCUGGGACACCAGGUGUGUGCAAUUAAUUAUUAGGUAGAACAGAAAAGCAGCAGGCUCGGGAACGCGUAGGGUAAGAGUUGAGUACGCCUGCCUAACCCAUGAUGACAUCAUUGACUUGAAUGGGGAGGUCCGUUCUAUAGAUUCUAUUUCUAUGCCCGGAUCCCACUUCUGCCACCAAAUACCACUCCACAGACCGGUCUUGAGGGACUAAAUAGAGAACGUGUUGACAAGGUGCCGAGGCUUUGGCUAGCGGUCUCUACUAUACCGGACCGUUAGCACUCACCCAAAGGUGCUUCAGUAAAGAUUAUUUCACCCUCUCUAUUUCCCUUUUAUUUGUCUGUGGUGCCGAGUGGAACCAGGUAGCGACAAGAAGCAACCCAGUGAGCACAAGACAUUGAAAUGGCGUAUUGUCAACGUCUUGGGAAGACAGACUGGUAGAUACAUGGACAUGACAAAGACAAGAAGCGAUGUAUUCCUGUCAGGAUAUAGGCUAUGAAUGAGUAGUAACUUGGGGCCGUGUACAGGCUCCAGCAGAGCUUACGUUAGCUAUGGGGAUCAACGGACUAAAUAUUUGGUCUCAAACACAAUGGGGACUUCAUCCCCAAAGCAAAUACUGACAGGUCUUUUUGAAUGUAGAAUUAAUGAAUACAAGACAAGUCGAGACAGAAAGCAAAGCUCAACCACGGUCUCACUGAUGUAACAUUACGCUGCCCUCUAUCGGUAGGAUGAUGGUAAUGCCAGGCAGCGCAAGAAGUCCCCCCCCUCUGAGUUGUAGUACCAACACCAGACACCAGGUGGGCGAGCACCUUAUGAGCAUCACAAUCCAGCUAUUCUCUUGUGGACAGACAAUUUUCGGCAAUAAUGUUACUUCUGGGUAACCGAGAUCACAAUCCAGGCAACAUUUCCCUGACUGGGACAGUUGUCAUUCUAUACCAUUUAGCAGAUGCUUUUAUCCAAAGCGAUUUACAGUCACGCGUGCAUACAUUUUACGUAUGGGUGGUCCCGGGAAUUGAACCCACUAUCCUGGCGUUGCAAGCGCCGUGCUCUAACAACUGAGCUGGAUCACAUGAGACGAGAGCCAAGCAUGGUCAAGUGAAGGCGGAAGCUAAUUUAACUUCCAGGGAAUUCUGGAUUUCAAAGAAAUGUACAAGAACAUAAAAAACAAUGUCUGAUGGAUAUUAGAAAUGGUUAUUCCUAGUAAGGAAUUUAAGAGAUAUAGUCCCUUAGGAGAGACGGACAUACCAGCUAGUGGUGCUUCUACAGUCCAUCAUCUGUCAGUCUGUAAACCAACCAACCCUGUCUCCCUCCCUCCCAAAAGUACACAAUGCAGUUUCAGUACGGUGUUCCCCCCCUUCUCGUGUCCAGCAUCAAAACUGCCCCCUCCCCUUCAUUUACAGCACAAUGCAAAAAUAUGUGGAUCUCUUUCUCUAGCUAUUUUACACUUUCAGAGUUCGACUUCCUCUUAAUGACAGAACACUUGGCAAGUUUCUAAAACGUGUUAAUGUUUGAAUUAGUAAUCAGGACCUAAAACACUACAUAGUACAUAGCUUCUCUUAGCAACACUAGUAUUUACACACUAGUGUUGCUAGGAAAUAGCUUGCAAAAAUACAGAAUAGUCAGCCGGAAGACAGGAGUGAAAUAAAAUGACAUUUCAACUUACUCUGCCGAUUGUCUGUGGAGUUGGUCCUUAUGCAGGGGGGAAAUUAAGCAAGAAACAUUUAGUAGAACAUAACUUAAACCCUGUCCAAACGUGGGUCUGUCGUCCCACUUCCUCUCUGCUUACCUCGCGUCAAGAUAAAAGUCUGGCACGUGCGCCAUACCUGCACAAGAAAGCAAGAACUUGUGAGGGACUUUUAUUUUGACAUGAGGUAAACAGAGAGGAACUGAAGUCCCGGAGGAACUGCAUGGGGUCUACAAACAGACCUCUAAUCAUACGUUCCAUUCUAAGUUCUUUCUCCAUCUCCCCCCUGCAUAAAGACCAACCUUACGGACAAAGUUGAAAUUGAAUUUGACUUGACUUCUGGCUUCCGGUGGACUAUUCCGUUUUUUGAAAGCUAAUUCCUAGCAAGGAUAUUGUGUGAAUACUAGCGUUGGUAAAAGCAGCUAUACAGUAAACAUUUAAAUCUGUAGAAAUAAAAACAUUGGUAAGUAUCAACAGAAAAACAGCAACGUAAUAAUAACAUUUCCUACAAAGCUCUUUUCUACAAUAUGGUCUCUAGUAUUUUUGAAAUGUAAUUUCUGGCCCUGCGAAACAACUUCCAGCCGCAUUUAGAAAUGGUGUGUUUGGCCAGCGUUUCUACAGGAUUCAUCACUCACUCGUCCUCCUUUUCCUCGUUCUCCUGUCCCCUCUCAGUAGCAUUGGACUUGAUAAAAGUCAUUAAAAAAAAAGACAAACAUGUUUGUAUCCCAAAUGGCAUCCUAUUCUUUAUUUAGUGCACUACUUUUGACCAUGGUCCAUAGGGCUCUGGUCAAAAGUAGUGCAAUAUUUUUUAGGGAAUAGGGUGCCAUUUGGAAUGUAGACUUGAUUUCCAGGCUAGGAGGCCAGGGGUGUCUGUGGUAACAUCCCAAAAUGGCACCCUAUUCCCAAUAUAGUGCACUACUUUUGGCCAGAGUCCUAUGGGAUGCCAUAUGGGCCCUAGUCAAAAGUAGUACAGGUAAUAGGGUAUGGAUUUCAGCUCUGCUAUAAUGAAACAGUCUGGAUUUCCAGGCUGUCUGCCUGACGACUGACUACAUACUUCAGUCAGACAGUCAGCGUUGAAGUCGGUUGUGGUGACAUCACAAUGAGGGGUGUUGUGCAAAACAAAAGUCAUUACCGAUUGGAGCAUCUCGAACCAAUCAGAGUAAGCCAAUGACACAUUUUGAAAACGCAGCUUUGCCCACGUGUGUUCUGGCCCAACCCAUCGCCUUCUGGGACCAAUCACAACUGUUUGAAUGUGUUUGCGUUCUAGAAAUCGUCAGAUCCAUGGCGUAGCGUUUGGCUGGAGCAAGGAGUCUGGGUAGGCAGGAAAAGGCUACGUCACCCCAACACUUACAUUAAGAAACAACUAAAUAUUUAUCUUUGUUGCAAAAAGGCCAUGGGACAAGGAUCUUCUGCCUCGCUCAGUUGUCUUGACUGCAGUUAAGUACCAGAGGCCUGCCACAAUGCCUCCUACGUCCUCAGACUCUAAACAAGCAGGAAGAAAGAAAAGCACCCCCCCCUCCUCCUCUUCCCUCCAUCCGUAAGAGGUAGGGUAACAAUCAUGUAUCUAGGAACGUAUAGAAUAGCACCACACCCCUCUCUCUCUCUCUCUCUCUCUCUCUCCUUCCCUCCCAACUCCCUCCCUCCCAUCUUCCCACUCAAGUCUAGGGAUUUCACAUAAAAAUAAAGUCAGUCAACUUGGAAUAACAACAAUCUUAUUAGUAUAAACAUCUAAAAUGGACUGUGUCUCUCUGUAUUAAUAUUUAGAUAGAGAGACCACCGACAGGGAAAUGUAUACCACCAUCUUCAACAUCAUCCUAGUCUUAGUCAUCACUGCACUUUUAUAAACAGACCCAUUGUCAGCCUGCAGUCUCCUGAAGGGAAUGGAUGCCUGGUUGGUUGGUUAGACACAUGCAUUGUCAGCCUGCAGUCUCCUGAAGGGAAUGGACGCCUGGUUGGUUGGUUAGACACAUGCAUUGUCAGCCUGCAGUCUCCUGAAGGGAAUGGACGCCUAGUUGGUUGGUUAGACACAUGCAUUGUCAGCCUGCAGUCUCCUGAAGGGAAUGGACGCCUGGUUGGUUGGACACCUGCAUUGCCCGAUGCAGAGACAUAUAUACAGUACCAGUCAAACGUUUGGACACACCUACUCAUUCAAGAGUUUCCUUCAAGAUUGUUGGAAAAAGCAUUCCAGGUGAAGCUGGUUGAGGGGAAUGCCAAGAGUGUGCCUAACUGUCAUCAAGGCAAAGGGUGGCUAUUUGAAGAAUCUCAAAUAUAUAUUUGAUUUGUUUAACACUUUUUUGGUUACUACAUGAUUCCAUGUGUUAUUUCAUAGUUCUGAUGUCUUCACUAUUAUUCUACAAAUAAGGAAAAGCCCUGGAAUGAGUAGGAGUCCAAACAUUUGACUGGUACUGUAUACACACACACACACACACACACAGACUGUCACACCAGCACACAUGCAAGAAAGGACACACCUGGACCGACACACACACCAAGUCAUCCUAUCAGGCAGUCCCAUCUGUUGUUUAGACAGUUACCACGUCAAACAGCCCCCUCCUCCUGCCAAACAAACAUUCACUCUUACACACGAGUCAUUCACAUUCACAACACGGCCGCCAUUUUCAGACAUUUAGCUUACAUCCUAAACCGCACCCUAUUCCCUACAUUGGCUCUGUCCCAAAGGAAGUAGUGCACUUAGACCUGGGUCAUAAAGUGGAGGCCGAAUUGAAUCAGAAUAAAGUGAAGCAGUGAAGCUGAAUGAGAUCAGGACUCUGAAUGGGAUUUAAUGGUUUGUUUAGUGAACAGUUUGAUGCUGUCCCCUCCCUCCCCUAUGAGCCAGCCAGUGUUUCAUCUAUAUUCAUUUAGCAGAGGUGGCCCACCACUCCUACAUUGCCACAGAGGCUAAAUUAUAAUAAAUUAAAUUCCUGCAAGACGUGCUUUUAAAGUUGUUGGCUCAAUGACUGGAAGUCUAUGGGAACAGCUAGCAUGUCAUUGUGCUAACGCAGGUAGCAAUGCUGUGUGUGUGUGUCUAUAGGCUUCCUUCCUCUCCAGACUGUAGUACUGUAUGUCUCUCCUACUGAGUCAGACACAAACAAACAGUCUCCUCUCAUUCUCUACCGCCGCACAUACCACACACACACUGCUGGCAGAGCCGCGUACCCAAACCACCCACACACACCAACAGGACAUGCGCAUUCGCCACUCCAAAACCCAGACACACACACGUAUGCAACACAUAGAACCAGACGCAGACUCACUCACCCUGGCACAGACAUGCGCAUUCCACACACACACACACACACACACACACUCUGUCUUCCAGUCAGAGGCGUUAGCGUGAAGAGCUAGAACUUAACACGCAGGACUCCAUAUAUGGCAGCAGAGAAAUGGGGAGAAACUGCACACACACACCAGCACGCAUGCAUGCCUUUAUACAGAGCCAACCAAGCAUCCCAUCCUCCCUCCCUCCCUCUCUCUCCUCCCUCCCAGAGACAGAC